CAAAUCUGAUCAAAAUGCUCUAAUUUGCUGCCAUUGCUUCAUACCUGAGCUCUUUGAUCUAGAUUAGCAUUCGGGGACCCUUCGUUGAUAGGAUGCUAUGCUAAUCUUUUGUGGAAUCAAGAUAGGAAACAAAGGGAUCUGGCAAGUGUCUGCAUGCGUGUUAAGCUGCGCUAAAUAAAGAUGUCAUCCAAGGUUGUAGGGUUUGGGAGGUGUAACCCUUACCUGGAUGGGUCACAUGUCUCCAAACCUCGUAUUAUCUAAAGUCUUUUGUUGUGUCUUAUGAACACGUUUUAAACAAGUAUGGUUUGUAAUUUAUCUUAAGUGUCGACAUUUUCAAACAAUGAUGUUGUGGUAUUAUUAAACUAAAUAAAUGGAUGAACAUCUUGUGUUUUAUUUUCAUAUAGCAUGGUUAUGAUUGUUGCUAUGAUAUUAAGAAGUCACACCAAAAUAAUCCACGCUUCGCAAAAGCCAGGGUGUGACAGCAAGUUGGAUCUUGGGCGCCGGUGUAGUUUCUAGAAGUAAAUUCCAAGUUUAGAUGUCAUCCACUUUUGUUAAUUUGUAACUUAGUCGAAGGUUGUGCUGUUUAAAGCUUAAAUCAAUGGUGUUGUAAUACUUUAAAUUUAAUGAAUGGAUGAACAUCGUU
rnacentral:lncRNA from 1 species